UAUCGUCUGCAAAUCGGAGGUGUGAGA
rnacentral:piRNA from 1 species